rnacentral:misc_RNA from 1 species
AUUAAACAAAGCAAGCCAACCUAGCUUACAUGUGUAGGGGGGAAAAGGUCAAAGUGACAAAUAGGUACCAGACUUACAAUUUAAAACACAACUACGACUCGAGGCAGGCAAUUGGAGCCUCCUCUCCUUUCUUUAUCUAUUCAAUUGCCUCACAACUCAGUUCCCAACUUUCAAGAUAGUUAUCUCCAACGAUAUGGUGACAAAGGCACUGUGGCAAAAGAUUUCUAAUAAUUCUUAACAAGCUUCCUCCCUUUACAAUGAUAGAACAUCUAAAGGGAAUUUGUUAGAUUACAUUUCAUAACCAAUCCAAAUAAGAGCAGUGCUUUAUAAAAGCAAUGCCAAAUUCAUUAACAGUUAGUGAAAAUAUCAUUGGCGUUGAAUUUAUGCAUCUCAGUUGAUUGUAGAGGAACUGGUCAUUGAGACUGGAGGGAACACAGCUUCCACAACGGUUUUCAAGUCCCUUAAGCACAUAGGCAACAUAUAAUUGCAAUCAUAAACAUUUUAGCCUGAAGAGUUAAAAGUUCACAUGGGAAGAUGCAUAACGAGGAAGCACGACAUAGAGACAAUGAUAGAAUCCAAAAACAGAGUAUACAGUUCAACACUCGGAAAUAUAACUCAGUUCCCUUCCCUGCCAAUGCUACAUGUCAGUGUGAUGAAGCUAAACAAAACUUCUCCAAGUUCACAUUAGGGCAAUAUUAUACAGAGAAGAAAGGGCACCACAGCCUAUACUCUAAAUGGCAAUGAAUAUGGUGUAGUGGCACUGGCAAUGCAGACAGCAAACAAUGCUGCACUGCUUGACACACACAUUGUAAGUGGGAUUGUAUUGAUGCAUCUUUAUGGACAUUUUUACUGUGAUUGCUUCUAGUCAGCUAUAGCUUUAAUAACAAUCAGUUUCAUUUUGCAAGCGAUUAAGUAAUAAUCAUGUAGCUUGUGAAAUUUUCCUCUUUUAUUCCACUGGAUAUCCAUAUAUGUUCUCCGGUCCAGUGAAUUAGUCUUCUCUCAUUACGAUUUUUCUAACAAGUGCACCAUGUUAAGGUUUUAUUUAUUACUAAUUUUGCAUCCGAAAUUAUCAAUAUUACAUAGAAAUAUUCAAUAUUACAACAACAAAAGGUGCAUAUGUAGUGGAAAAUAUAAUUUCCUAUGUUAUGGAAGCAAAAUUAGUGAUAAAUAAGCAUAUUUAACAAUACUUAACAAGUGCAAUGUUGCACUCAUUAGAAGAACCGAUUUAUAGUUUUAUUGAAUUUGAC